rnacentral:tRNA from 1 species
GCGGGGUUAGCUCAGCUGGAUAGAGUAGCUGGCUUCGAACCAGUUGGUCGGGAGUUCGAAUCUCUCACCCCGCGCCA